rnacentral:rRNA from 1 species
UACGGAGGAUGCAAGCGUUAUCCGGAAUCAUUGGGCGUAAAGGGUCCUGAGGUGGUUUGCUAAGUCUACUGUGAAAGAUCAGGGCUCAACCCUGAAGAUGCGGUGGAAACUGGCAGGCUAGAAUACGGUAGGGGCAGGGGGAAUUCCCGGUGUAGCGGUGAAAUGCAUAGAUAUCGGGAAGAACACCAAAGGCGAAGGCACCCUGCUGGGCCGAUAUUGACACUGACAGACGAAAGCUAGGGGAGCAAAUGGG